CGCGCGUAUCUAAGGAUCCUAAUAAGGUAAUAUAUAAUAACAAAUGAAACAACAAUAACCCCAGCAAGUAUGCAUGUUCUCCGACCUGAUUUCUUCUCAAAUACCAUCUUGAAUCUAUCCAUGGUUCCUGACAUUAUGCCCCUUGAUAUGUCCAUUUUGUUGCCCAUUCGAUCAAGCAAACGAUUAUGACUCUCCACUUCCUCGUGUAUGUCCCCUGUUAAUCUCUUCAAGAAAAUAACUCUGUCUUGCAAACUGUUAAUAGCUUUGUCAUUGUCGUGCUCAUUAAUAUUAUGGGGAUAUGAAGAAGAGGCCCUAAGGCCGCCUUCUUCAAGGGCAUCAUCAAAUACAGCUGACCUUGAAUUGCGGUUAUCCCUUCUGUAACUCAUUGUUUGCGAGAAUCACCAAAGUUGGUU
rnacentral:misc_RNA from 1 species